CCUACGGGUGGCAGCAGUAGGGAAUCUUCCGCAAUGGACGCAAGUCUGACGCAGCAACGCCGCGUGAGUGAAGAAGGUUUUCGGAUCGUAAAACUCUGUUGUUAGAGAAGAACAUGUCCUUGCGUAACUGUUAUCGCCUUGACGGUAUCUAACCAGACGGCCCCGGCUAACUACGUGCGAGCAGCCGCGGUAAUACGUAGGUGGCAAGCGUUGGCCGGGUUUAUGGGGCGUAAAGUGAGCGCAGGCGGCGCGGUAAGUCUGAUGUGAAAGCCCCCGGCUCAACCGGGGAGGGUCAUUGGAAACUGGGGAGCUUGAGUGCGGGAGAGGAGGGUGGAAUUCCAUGUGUAGCGGUGAAAUGCGUAGAUAUAAGGAGGAACACCAGUGGCGAAGGCGACUUGCUGGACUGUAACUGACGCUGAGGCUCGAAAGCGUGGGUAGCAAACAGGAUUAGAUACCCUAGUAGUC
rnacentral:rRNA from 1 species